rnacentral:rRNA from 1 species
AGUGGCGGACGGGUGAGUAACGCGUGAGAAUCUGCCUUGGGGUCGGGGACAACCACUGGAAACGGUGGCUAAUACCGGAUAAGCCGAUUGGUGAAAGAUUUAUUGCCCGAAGAGGAGCUCGCGUCUGAUUAGCUAGUUGGUGAGGUAAGAGCUCACCAAGGCAGCGAUCAGUAGCUGGUCUGAGAGGACGAUCAGCCACACUGGGACUGAGACACGGCCCAGACUCCUACGGGAGGCAGCAGUGGGGAAUUUUCCGCAAUGGGCGAAAGCCUGACGGAGCAAGACCGCGUGAGGGGAAGGCUCUUGGGUUGUAAACCUCUUUUCUCAGGGAAGAAGCUCUGACGGUACCUGAGGAAUCAGCCUCGGCUAACUCCGUGCCAGCAGCCGCGGUAAUACGGAGGAGGCAAGCGUUAUCCGGAAUUAUUGGGCGUAAAGCGUCCGCAGGUGGCGAUUCAAGUCUGCUGUCAAAGCACGGGGCUUAACUCCGUAAAGGCAGUGGAAACUGAAUAGCUAGAGUGCCGUAGGGGUAGAGGGAAUUCCCGGUGUAGCGGUGAAAUGCGUAGAGAUCGGGAAGAACAUCGGUGGCGAAAGCGCUCUACUGGACGGCAACUGACACUCAGGGACGAAAGCUAGGGGAGCGAAUGGGAUUAGAUACCCC